rnacentral:rRNA from 1 species
ACCCUUUAAUGUUUGAUGUUCUAACGUGGACCCGUGAUCCGGGUUGCGGACAGUGUCUGGUGGGUAGUUUGACUGGGGCGGUCUCCUCCUAAAGAGUAACGGAGGAGCACGAAGGUUGGCUAAUCCUGGUCGGACAUCAGGAGGUUAGUGCAAUGGCAUAAGCCAGCUUGACUGCGAGCGUGACGGCGCGAGCAGGUGCGAAAGCAGGUCAUAGUGAUCCGGUGGUUCUGAAUGGAAGGGCCAUCGCUCAACGGAUAAAAGGUACUCCGGGGAUAACAGGCUGAUACCGCCCAAGAGUUCAUAUCGACGGCGGUGUUUGGCACCUCGAUGUCGGCUCAUCACAUCCUGGGGCUGAAGUAGGUCCCAAGGGUAUGGCUGUUCGCCAUUUAAAGUGGUACGCGAGCUGGGUUUAGAACGUCGUGAGACAGUUCGGUCCCUAUCUGCCGUGGGCGCUGGAGAACUGAGGGGGGCUGCUCCUAGUACGA